ACUCCUACGGGAGGCAGCAGUGGGGAAUAUUGCACAAUGGGCGCAAGCCUGAUGCAGCCAUGCCGCGUGUAUGAAGAAGGCCUUCGGUUGUAAAGUAACUUUCAGUCAGUGAGGGAAGGACGGGGUACGUUAAUAGCNUGCUCGUUUGACGUUAGCUGCAGAAGAAGCACCGGCUAAACUCCGUGCCAGCAGCCGCGGUAAUACGGAGGGUGC
rnacentral:rRNA from 1 species